UGAACGCUAGCGACAGGCCUAACACAUGCAAGUCGAGGGGUAACAGGGAAGCUUGCUUCCGCUGACGACCGGCGCACGGGUGCGUAACGCGUAUGAAACCUACCUUAUACCGGGGGAUAGCCCGAAGAAAUUCGGAUUAAUACCGCAUAACAUAUAAAAGUGGCAUCACUUUAUUAUUAAAACUCCGGUGGUAUAAGAUGGUCAUGCGUGACAUUAGCUGGUUGGUGAGGUAACGGCUCACCAAGGCGACGAUGUCUAGGGGUUCUGAGAGGAAGGUCCCCCACACUGGUACUGAGACACGGACCAGACUCCUACGGGAGGCAGCAGUGAGGAAUAUUGGUCAAUGGACGCAAGUCUGAACCAGCCAUGUCGCGUGCAGGAAGACUGCCCUAUGGGUUGUAAACUGCUUUUAUAUGGGAAGAAUGUGAUCUACGUGUAGAUUUUCGACGGUACCAUAUGAAUAAGCACCGGCUAACUCC
rnacentral:rRNA from 1 species